GCAAACUUGGUCAUUUAGAGGAAGUAAAAGUCGUAACAAGGUUUCCGUAGGUGAACCUGCGGAAGGAUCAUUACAGUGUCUUGGAGGCCGGUCGGCGCCCGCUCCCCCUCGGGGGGGUUGGCGCGGCCGUCGCCCCCUCCACACGUGUCUACCACACCAUGUUGCCUUGGUGGGUCUGCCCCCGUGGCUGCCGGGGAUCACCGCUGGUGUCCCGGGCCUGAACCCACCGAUGGAACCCCUGAACUCUCUGUGAAUCUAGUGUGUCUGAGCGUUAAGCGAAUUGAACAAAACUUUCAACAAUGGAUCUCUUGGUUCUGGCAUCGAUGAAGAACGCAGC
rnacentral:misc_RNA from 1 species